GACGAACGCUGGCGGCGUGCUUAACACAUGCAAGUCGAACGGAAAGGCCUCAGCUUGCUGGGGUACUCGAGUGGCGAACGGGUGAGUAACACGUGGGUGAUCUGCCCUGCACUUCGGGAUAAGCCUGGGAAACUGGGUCUAAUACCGGAUAGGACCAUCGUUUAGUGUCGGUGGUGGAAAGUUUUCGGUGCAGGAUGAGCUCGCGGCCUAUCAGCUUGUUGGUGGGGUAAUGGCCUACCAAGGCGUCGACGGGUAGCCGGCCUGAGAGGGUGGACGGCCACAUUGGGACUGAGACACGGCCCAGACUCCUACGGGAGGCAGCAGUGGGGAAUAUUGCACAAUGGGCGCAAGCCUGAUGCAGCGACGCCGCGUGGGGGAUGACGGCCUUCGGGUUGUAAACUCCUUUCAACCAUGACGAAGCUUUUGUGACGGUAGUGGUAGAAGAAGCACCGGCUAACUACGUG
rnacentral:rRNA from 1 species